rnacentral:ncRNA from 12 species
CGCGUUGCCUCCAGGGGGACGGGAAACUUAAAUAAACCUGGAUAAAAUUGCGACUAGCUAAGUUUAUAUUAAUAAUGUGGUGAAACCCCACCAAAUAAUCCAUUAUUUGAACUCUAAACAGCAUGCGUUAGAAGUAAUUUUAAAGCAUGAAGCCUGUAAAUUAAAUUAAGAGUUAGAUACUUAUGGAUAAUGUAAUGUGAAUUCACGGUUGAAGUGUAAAUAUUAAGAGUAGGAAAAUUUCCCGCAUUUUCCUUAAUGGGUCCGCAUGUUAAUAUUACAUAUAGUGGAAUCCUAAGAGUAUCAUUAAAGUGUUAAUAUAAAAACUAGGUAACCCCAAUUACAUCCAAUUUUUAUAUUGGAGGUUUCAUUUGUGAAGGUGAAAUAACUGUAAGUGGGUAAAGGAAAUUCAAAAAAGCAAAAGCCCUAUUGUAAUGAUAGGGAUAGGUUAUUUUUAACUAAUCUGAAAGGAUGCCUACUUUGAAUUAGUGUAAGUUUAUAUUAGAAAGAUCAAAAACUCCACCUAGCAGCUUAAAAGCAAGUCCUUGCUUUGCUAGGAUUAAAAAAGCUACAAUGUAUUAGUCAGCAGCUAAUAUUUUAUGUUAUGGAAAAAAAUAAAUUUAAUUUAAAUACAAUAAGGAAUUAUACAACAUUAAAAUCAUCUUAUGAUUUAUUACCUUGGCAAAUUACAGGUUUAACCGAUGGUUGCUUUGUUUUUACCUUAUGGUAAAAACCAUAAGGCUAGGAGGGUUUUAUUGUUCUAUUUUAAAAACUGGAACUGGUGCUACUGGUUUUAGAGUUAAAUUAGAAUUUAAAGUUGUACAAAAAAGCCAUUCUGAAGAAGUAUUAGUAAGUUUACAGAAUUAUUUUUCUUGUGGAAGUGUGGUUAUUGAUAAUAGAAAAACAGAUACUAAAAAAUAUCAUGUUACUUCUAUAUCUGAUAUACUUAAUAUCAUUAUACCACAUUUUGAUACUUAUCCUUGCUUAACUUCAAAAUUUUUAAAUUUUGACGAUUGGAAAAGCAUAGCUUUUUUAUUAAAAAAUAAAGAACAUUUGACAAAAGAAGGAUUGCCCUCUGGUUUGUAACCAUUCGGGUUUAAAACAAAAAAUAAGAGAAAUAAGCUCUAAGAUGAAUUCAAAAAGAAGUUUUUUAGAAAAAUAUGAAUAUUUAAAAAAAGCUUUAAAUGUAGAUUCAGAUGGUAAUGCCAACUAUAAACUACCAGAACACUGGGUACAAACAUUUAUAGAUGGUUGCUUUGUUUGUACCUUAUGGUAAAAACCAUAAGGCUAGGUAUGUUUUAUAAUUACCUAUUUGAUAAUAGUACAACUUUACAAAAUAAAAUAAUUGUUGAUUCUUCAUUAGAAAUUGCUCAAGGAAAUCACGAUGUUUUUAUUUUAUUAGCCUUAAAACAAUUCUUUGACGGAGGUUAUAUUAAACCUAAAUACAAUGUAAAUUCUAUAACUGAAUGUAAAGAAUCUAGAGAUGUUAAUAGGUAUAUACUUAGAGAUAGUAAGAAAAUUAUCGAUUUUGUGAAUAAAUUUCCAAUGCUUACUAGAAAACAGUUAGACUUUUUGGACUGGAAAACUAUUGUUGAAUUAAAAAAUAAUGGUUUACAUAAAACUCCUGAAGGUUUAACUUUAAUCAAGGAAAUUAAAGCUAAAAUGAAUUCUAAAAGAGAUUAAUUGAAUAAUUGACCUUAAAUUUAGGGAUUAAACUAAUAUUGAAACUUAUGCUUGAGCUGUAUGCGAUGAAAGUCGCACGUACAGUUCUUAGAGGAUGUUAAUAUAGUAAUAUUUAACGUAGCCUCAACAGACCCUAUGCAGCUUUACUGUAGUUAGUUAUCAUAUGAAUCUAGAACA